UUCCUUGUGGUUCAGUGGUUAAGACUCUGUAUUUCCAGUGCAGGGGGCCCAAGUUCGAUCCCUGGUCAGGGAA
rnacentral:tRNA from 1 species